UACGUAGGUGGCAAGCGUUGUCCGGAUUUAUUGGGUUUAAAGGGUGCGUAGGCGGCUUUGUAAGUCAGUGGUGAAAUACGGCAGCUCAACUGUCGAGGUGCCAUUGAUACUGCAGAGCUAGAGUACUGAUGAGGUAGGCGGAAUGGACGGUGUAGCGGUGAAAUGCUUAGAUAUCGUCCAGAACACCGAUAGCGAAGGCAGCUUACUAAAGAGUAACUGACGCUGAGGCACGAAAGUGUGGGGAUCAAACAGGAUUAGAUACCCCCGUAGUCC
rnacentral:rRNA from 1 species